CUUGCUGUUUAUUUAUUUUUUUUUUUGUCUAGAGAGUAGAGACUCUACUAUAAUGUGAUUACUACUACUUUAUCUCUGAUAGAUUUUUUACUUUUGACAAUAAACUGAUAUGAACACUAACAUUAUAAUUUGCAAAGUAUGCACUUGAGAAAAGUCUGUUCUGUUGUUGUUGGGGUUCCUUGGAAAUUUCUUAUUGCAUUAGUGAAUACUGAAUAGUCAACUUUAGCAGUCCUUUUUAAUUUUAUUACUGUGAUUAAUUGGGUGAAACCAUAAAAAUGAGUGAUCUUUAUCUUUUGAUUGUGUAUGGAGGAAGAUGUUGUAUCAAAAUAAGAGAUUAUUAUGUGUUUGGUGCUGCUAAUAGUAAGUUAUAUUGAGCUAAAUUAUUCUUUUUCUUCUAUCUAUCUAUGUUUUGCAAAUAAAUUUUGGACUUCAAAACUAGCAUCUUUGAUAACAGAGUGGAGGACUGAAACAUUUUUAGAGUCUUCAAUGUGAAUGCCAUCAGUAUUGGGACUUAGAGCAGGAGAGUUUAUAGAAACAGAGUCAACUUGACUUGACAACUUGUAUAUGCCAUCAAUAUAUUGUUUUGUAUAUGUUAGUGUUUGUUACAGUAAAACCAUUAUAAAUUAAGAACUUUAUGACUUGACAACUUGACAAAAUUAUAAUUUGAUCGAGGCUAUUAAUUUAUCAAGGCUAUUUUGUAUAAUUAUUUGUGUUGUAAUGGUGUUGAUGAUGAUGAUGAUUAUUAUUUUGUAUAAUAAAUUACAGAUGUAAUUAACAUUAUUAUUAAAUCAUUUUUAUUUACAAAAGUGGUAAUAUAGGUUUUAGAAAUAAUUUUAGUGAUCAAGUCUAACUAUCAAAAAUUAACAUUUAUUUUUCUUAUGGCACUCAUUGUUUUGUUAACAACAAUUUAUUUACUUAGCUAACAUUGGUUUAUGUAAUAGUUAGUAAUCAAUAGUCCUUGAAAAAGUCAUUUUGAAUGUGAUGCAGCAGAAACUAAUAAAAUAAAAUAAAUAAAAUUACAAUUAGCUUAUUAUAAAUAUAUAUUUAUUAGUAGAUUAAUUUAAUUUAAUUUAAUUACAACAGAUGAUGAGAGAAAGGUGAAGUUUCUGAAAAGCUUUCGAGGAGCUAAGACGAGAUGACAAAGCAAAAGGAUGCAAAUAAGCCAAAAGGACGAGGCAGGACAAAAAAGAAUGACAUCAACAAUCUGAAAGCUCAAGGACGCAAGACAAAACUAGAGUGGAAUGAGAAAUGAGAACCUAUAGGAACAGCAUAUGCAGAUAUGCAAUCAUGGAUUGGGGUUAAAGCAAGAUCUACAGUCCCUCUAAAUUAUGAUGAUUGGAGACAUGUAGAUUCGAAACUCAAGGGGAAAAUAUGGAAAGACACAUACAGGUUCUUGACAAGACUCAUAUUUCUCUUCAGGCCAUGUUCUUGGAAUAUAUGAGAGUAAAAGGUAAAAAUGAGUUUGUGAGGGUUCCUGUCAACCCAUCCUUAUUCUACCGAGUUCACAUCUACAUAACUUCCGAAGAUGUCAUACAAGUGGCCACCCAAGAUGAACUUACGGGUUCAGCUAUGUUAUUUGGACUAAGAUGCAUUUGGGAAAAUUUAAAUCAAAGACAAAUAUUAGUUCAAAUGCUAUUGUAUUUGGCAAAAAUGGACCGGAGAUAUGGACCUUUGCUUGUCCAAAGCAACCAUACAAUUACGAAUGUGGUUACUAUGUACUAACUUACAUUCGUGAUAUGCUUCAACAUUCAAAUCCUAUUACAGCCAUAAAAGCAAAAUUUGGCGGUCUAUCCCAAUAUUUUGAGGACGAUCAUCUCUUACCGCUUCGACAACAGUGGUUAAGUCAAUUGCUUCC